rnacentral:lncRNA from 1 species
GGAAACGCGGAUGCUGAUACUACCAGACAAAUAUCUAACUUGAACUUCAAGGUUCUAAGUAAUUGAAUAGCAAAAGAAAAAUGCAAGGAACAAAGAAUGACAGGUGCCUAUGAUGAAAACUAGAUACUGGUGUUGCUGUGUACGACGCAAGGACAACCACUGGCCCUACAGUAUCUCAGAGAUACAAUGUCUUCAUACAUGGUCCAGCACCACACACUCACCCCGGUCACGGCCCGGUGACCCACUAGCAGCUAAAAAGAUUCUGGCACGUGAUUUUGAUGAAUUCCUGAAGGAGCCAUUUCUGGUAUGGGAUGUCCACGUGACCGGAGAACGCCACAUGAUAUUCACCACCCAGACGUAGCUGAACCUGUUGACCAGAGCACGGAAGUGGUAUCUACACAGGACCUUCAAAGCAGUGCAUACACAAUUUCUACAGCUGUGUUCAGUCGAUGCCUUCAUCCGAGUGGGCGUCAACAUGAAGCAGGUGCUACUGAUGUACAUGUGCUAAUUUCCAGACGCCGGAAGCAGGAUUAUGUUGCCAUGAGUUGUUACAUAGUUUAAUACUUGAUUGAGGAUUUUUAAUUAUAUAUAUAAUAAUUAAAUAUUAUAAUUUUUCACAGAAAUAUCAUUAAAUUUGAAAGUAUUUUUUUGUAUUCAUAUGAAAACAUCUUAAAGGGAAA